rnacentral:rRNA from 1 species
UAAGGUGGUUAUAGCGACGGGGCUCACCUCUUACCUUUCCGAACAGAGAAGUUAAGCCCGUUAGCGCCGAUGGUACUGCAACAGUGGGAGAGUAGGUCAUCGCCUUUU